CCAAUAGCGUAUAUUAAAGUUGUUGCAGUUAAAAAGCUCGUAGUUGAAUUUCGGGGUUAGUAGGUUGGUCAUGCCUCUGGUAUGUACUGGUCUCACUGAUUCCUCCUUCCUGAUGAGCCGUAAUGCCAUUAAUUUGGUGUUGCAGGGAAUUUGGACUGUUACUUUGAAAAAAUUAGAGUGUUUAAAGCAAGCUAACGCUUGAAUACAUUAGCAUGGAAUAAUGAAAUAGGACGUUCGAUCCUAUUUUGUUGGUUUCUAGGAUUGACGUAAUGAUUAAUAGGGUUAGUUGGGGGCAUUAGUAUUCAAUUGUCAGAGGUGAAAUUCUUGGAUUUAUUGAAGACUAACUACUGCGAAAGCAUUUGCCAAGGAUGUUUUCAUUAAUCCAGAUCGAAAGUUAGGGGAUCGAAGACGAUCAGAUACCGUCGUAGUCUUAACCAUAAACUAUGCCGACUAGGGAUCGGAUGAUGUUAAUUUUUUAAUGACUCAUUCGGCGCCUUACG
rnacentral:rRNA from 1 species